rnacentral:rRNA from 1 species
GAUCAUGGCUCAGGAUGAACGCUGGCGGCAUGCCUAAGACAUGCAAGUCGAACGAGAUGGCCCAGUGAAGGUUGAGUGCUUGCACAAGACUGAAUCUGGAUUCCCAUCUAGUGGCAGACGGGUGAGUAACACGUGGGUGACCUACCUUUUCGUUGGGGAUAACAGUUGGAAACGAUUGCUAAUACCGAAUAAAAUGUAAGAGUCAAUUUUACAUUGAAAGGAGCCUUUAAAGCUUCGCGA